AUGCACGCUGGCGGCGUGCCUAAUACAUGCAAGUCGCGCUAACAGAUGAGGAGCUUGCUCCUCUGACGUUAGCGGCGGACGGGUGAGUAACACGUGGAUAACCUACCUAUAAGACUGGGAUAACUUCGGGAAACCGGAGCUAAUACCGGAUAAUAUAUUGAACCGCAUGGUUCAAUAGUGAAAGACGGUUUUGCUGUCACUUAUAGAUGGAUCCGCGCCGCAUUAGCUAGUUGGUAAGGUAACGGCUUACCAAGGCAACGAUGCGUAGCCGACCUGAGAGGGUGAUCGGCCACACUGGAACUGAGACACGGUCCAGACUCCUACGGGAGGCAGCAGUAGGGAAUCUUCCGCAAUGGGCGAAAGCCUGACGGAGCAACGCCGCGUGAGUGAUGAAGGUCUUCGGAUCGUAAAACUCUGUUAUUAGGGAAGAACAAAUGUGUAAGUAACUAUGCACGUCUUGACGGUACCUAAGCAGAAAGCCACGGCUAACUACGU
rnacentral:rRNA from 1 species